ensembl:piRNA 21ur-4222 ncRNA
UGCUAAGACAAGAUGGGUAAA